CAGGAGGAGUGUAAGCUGCAGAGUGCUUGAGAGAUCACCCUUGCGGGAGUGUUGAUGGAUUGGAGGUGGCCGAGCUAACGGGGCCACUUAGGAGAGGGUCAUCAGAUUUAACCUUUGCAGACUGUAAAUUUCUUGAUGGCAAGAACCAUGUAACUGGUUUUUGUUAGAUUUCUGCAACUCAAGACCCAAUCCUGGGCAACUGUUGGACACUUAAACAUCCUUCAUCACUAGCUGCGUUCAUCACUAGGAAAAACCAAAAACCAGGAACAACCCGGAUGUCCUUCAACAAGGGAAGGGUGACCCAGCCCGUGAUGCAUCCGUCACACUGUGGAUUGCUGCUCAGCAACGAGGAGGCACAGACUCGAUACGGGAGCCAGCCUGGGUGACGCUCCAGAGAACUACCCUGAGUGGAGAAGGGCAGUCCCACCGUGUGAUUCCAUUAUUAUCACAUUCUUGAAAUGACAGAAUUAUAGAAAGGAGAACAGAGGAGUGGCUGCCAGAGUUUAAGGAGGGAAUGGGGAAAGGGGGAAGAGCAGCAUGCGGGAUCCUUGUGACGGAAGCGUUUUGUGUCGUGUGGGUGUCUGUCAGUUUCCUAGCUGUGAUACUGUACCAUUGUCUUGUAAGAUGCUGCCAUCGGUGGAAACUGGGUAAAGCAUAUAGGGGAC
rnacentral:lncRNA from 10 species